AUUUUCUCUCUCCCCUAGCCAGGGUCGAGCCUUUGAGAUGUUUGAUUCGCGUUCUUCUUUCACCUCUCUUUCUCCAGUUGGUUUCUCCCUGUUGAGAUUGGUCGAGUGUUGUAUUGGUGAUUCAAACCAGCGACAGUUGUAUCAUUUGUGAUCGUUUUGUCAUCAUAAUCAUCAUAAAUACAUAUACAUAUACAUCCACAAAUUUUCAUUAUUACAUUAUUUGCAUUAUAUGAUUCAUUAUUUCUCUGAUCCUCUGCUAUGGUGGUAUCCUUUCCCCCACGCAGAUUUUGUGUGUCUGUCCUCUUUCAAUAAUAGAGUGUCAACCCCCUUAAGUAGAAAGAAUUUAACCUUUC
rnacentral:lncRNA from 1 species